UUGAACGCUGGCGGCAUGCUUUACUCAUGCAAGUCGAGCGGUAACAGGUUAAGCUGACGAGUGGCGAACGGGUGAGUAAUGCAUCGGAACGUGCCCGAUCGUGGGGGAUAACACUUCGAAAGAAGUGCUAAUACCGCAUACGAUCUGAGGAUGAAAGCGGGGGACCGUAAGGCCUCGCGCGAUCGGAGCGGCCGAUGUCAGAUUAGGUAGUUGGUGGGGUAAAGGCUCACCAAGCCGACGACCUGUAGCUGGUCUGAGAGGACGACCAGCCACACUGGGACUGAGACACGGCCCAGACUCCUACGGGAGGCAGCAGUGGGGAAUUUUGGACAAUGGGCGCAAGCCUGAUCCAGCAAUGCCGCGUGCAGGAAGAAGGCCUUCGGGUUGUAAACUGCUUUUGUACGGAGCGAAAAGGCUCCCUCUAAUACAGGGGGCUUAUGACGGUACCGUAAGAAUAAGCACCGGCUAACUACGUGCCAGCAGCCGCCGUAA
rnacentral:rRNA from 1 species